UUAGCGGUUGCCGGGGGCGGGAGGGAGGGUGGCGAGGUGGAGCAGAGAGGGUUUUGGGGGCCCAGAGACAGCACCGUGUGGUACCACCACGGCGGACACGUGGGUCCAGACUCGUGGCAGGGACGACACCAGGCAUAAGCCGUGCUGUAGACCGUGGACUCCGGGGGCGAUGGUGCGUAGGUUUGCUGCUGUAACCAACGUCCCCUCUGCUGGGGGACACUGGUCGUGGCGGAGGCUGUGCGUGCAUGAGAGCAGGCGCCAAACGGGAUGCUCCAUGUCAUCCAUCAAUUCUGAUGCCACCUAAAGCUCCUGUUAAAAACUUAGCUGAGGAGGGCGUUCCCGUCAUGGUGCAGUGGUUAACAAUCCGACUAGAAACCGUGAUGGUGCGGGUUCAAUCCCCGGCCUUGCUCUGUGGGUGAAGGAUCUGGUGUUGCCAUGAGCUGUGGUGUAGGUCGCAGACGCGGCUCGGAUCCCGCGUUGCCGCGGCUCUGGUUUAGGCCAAUGGCUACAGCUCCGAUUCGACCCCUAGCCUGGGAACCUCCAUAUGCCACGGAAGUGACCCUAGAAAAGGCUAAAAGAGAAAUAAAAAAGCUAAGUUGAGGAGGAGAGUUCCUCUUGUGGCUCAGCUGUGAAUGACUAGGAUCCAUGAGGAUGCAAGAUCGAUCCCUGGCCUCGCUCAGUGGGUUAAGGAUCCCAUAUGGCCGUGAACUGUGGUGUAGGUCACAGACGUGGCUUGGAUCCUGCGUUGUUGUGGCUGUGGUGUAAGCUGGCAGCUGUGGUUCUGAUUUGACCCCUGGCCUAGGAACCUCCAUAUGCCAGGAGUGCAGCCCAAAAAAAAAAGACCCACUAAGUUUAUUUAAAAAACAAAAAACAAAACACUCCAUGGUCCAGAAGAGCCCCCUCCCAGCAGGAUUUGGAGGCAGGAAAGAACAGGGUUUGCUGGGAGCAGGCGGCUGCUGGGGACAAGGCCUGGGCCGGAGGAGUACUGGCUGGCACCAUGACAGGAGGGAAGCAGGGCCAGGCAGAGGAUGGGCCCCCAGGGGAGUGGGCUGGAGCGGCUGGGGCCCGCUGGCCCUGGGGUGCCGGGGUGGCACAUGGUUACUCACAGGUUGUCUUCUCCCGCCAGGGCCAGCUUUGCCCCCGCCUGCCUCUCCCACGAGAUCAUCAUCCGAAGCCACUGGACGGACGUCCAGGUCAAGGGGACCUCGCUGCCCCGGGCACUGCACUGCUGGGACAGGAGCCUCCACGACAGCCACAAGGCCAGCAAGGCCCCCCUGAAGGGCUGCCCCGUCCACCUGGUGGACAGCUGCCCCUGGCCCCACUGCAACCCCUCCUGCCCCACCAUCCGGGACCAGCUCACGGGGCAGGAGAUGAACGUGGCCCAGUUCCUCAUGCACAUGGGCUUCGACGUGCAGACGGUGGCCCAGCAGCAGGGCCUGGAGCCCAGUAAACUGCUGGGGAUGCUGAGCAGCGGGAGCUAGGGCCUCCCCAGGCCCCUCCCCUCCAGGCCCUCCUGCCCUCCCAGGACCACAGGCUCUGGCUGUCCCCCCCACCCCCGGGUCUGGAUGGCCUCCCGGCAGCCCUCACCGCCUCUCUGCCCCGGCCUCCCAGAGGCCCAGCCGGAGACCCAGCUGUGGCCCUGGGACCCUCCCCCCGCCCCUCCUCCUCUGCCUCCAGCCCGUGGUGGGAGCCAGAAGCACUGGACUCCUCAGCCCCCGGCCCGGCUCCCGGCCUCCCCUGCCCUUUUGUAUUAUUUUAUAAAGUGACUUUUUUAUUACUUUAAUUUUUUAAAAAAGAAAAUUAAGCAAGAAAUAUAUGGUGAAUGA
ensembl:lncRNA